rnacentral:lncRNA from 1 species
AUGCCCCCUCCUCUGCCCAUUUCCUUGAGUUGUCUUUAUUUCCUGAGCAAGGUCAUCCUGGCUUGGGAGGGGAGGAGCUGCUCACCCUCUGGGCACUGGGUGGGGGUGUGGGGUGGGGAGGAGCCCAGAGCAGAGAAAGCACAGCACUCCCUGCAGAACCCCAGUGCUCACCCCCCCAACCCACCCCCCUUCCCAUCGGGGAGCCCCUCCUCUGCCUCUAGGCCAACCUGCCCCAGAGGACAGGCCACCUCUGCACGACUGUCCUUGAGACCUGAUAUUCCACAGGGUGGCAGCCUGGUCCAGCACGAUCCUCCUGAUUUCUACCUUGAAUCCUUCCUGCAAAUCCAGCGAAAUCCUUCAGGUUUCCAGGAGGUAUUCCUGAUAUCAAGUGAUGGGGCCGACAGGAAGGAGCCUUGCUGGAGCGCACACCUGUGCCGGCAGGUACUUUCCCCAGGAGAGCUCACCUGCUGGGUGCAGUGGCCAUGGGAGGUGGGAACUCCAGUGUCUCCUUCACUGUGGGACUGUCCCCCUUCUAGGCUCUGACCCUCCACGGUGGCGCGACCUGGGCAGCUGACACAACCUCUGGGAUCCUCGGUUUUCUCGCCCGUGAAAUGGGAUAGUUCAGAGGGUGGCCGCAGGGUUGGGGGGAAGUGCUCAUCCUAACGUCUGCACACCUAAGAGCCAAAUCAGGGUUGGCCUCGGAGGGGGCCUGUUGUGCCCGCAGUCUCAGGGCUUCGACACGGGUUUCUGGCACCUUCCCCCACAAAAAGCAGUGGACUUGGGACUGUUGAGUGUUUGUUCUAUGUUGAUUCCUGAGAUGAAGCCUGUGGGAGCUAGAGCGCAUGGGGUGGGGCCGAGAGGGCUCAUGGGCCACACCCAGUCACCCAGUUCCCUGCAGCCCAGCUCAGGCCACUGAGGCAGAACCAGAGGUGGGGAGAGAGCUAUGUUGCUGACCUCCUGCUGCCCUUCUCUGCCACUUCCCCUCACUCCCCCAGGACCAGGCGCCCGGAACACCUGAGGGGUGUCUCCCUCUCAUUUUAAAGAGAAGAUCAUAGGCUUGGUGAAUCCAACUGGGCAAGACAGGACUAGCAAGGGGCAGUUCGAAAUGGGGCUGCGGGGCUCCCCUCUCCAUCCCUGAGCUUGGGUGCUCCUCAGGCUGCCCUCUGUCCAGGCCAGGGCCAGGGUGCAUGGUGUGCUUCUUCCAGGGGCUCUCCGACUUGGGCCCUGCUGCUCUGGCCUUCCUCGAGGCCCGGACUUCCUACCGGGACUGCUGUGACAGGCUCCCUCCUGAUGGCACUCCUUCCUCACCCACUUUUCUUCCCCACUGUUCACGGUUCCCCUAGGAGGAUCGCUAGGGGAUUGUGUGUGAGAAGGGGGG